UGGGGAAUAUUGCACAAUGGGCGCAAGCCUGAUGCAGCCAUGCCGCGUGUGUGAAGAAGGCCUUCGGGUUGUAAAGCACUUUCAGCGAGGAGGAAGGUGGUGAGCUUAAUACGCUCAUCAAUUGACGUUACUCGCAGAAGAAGCACCGGCUAACUCCGUGCCAGCAGCCGCGGUAAUACGGAGGGUGCAAGCGUUAAUCGGAAUUACUGGGCGUAAAGCGCACGCAGGCGGUUUGUUAAGUCAGAUGUGAAAUCCCCGGGCUCAACCUGGGAACUGCAUUUGAAACUGGCAAGCUAGAGUCUCGUAGAGGGGGGUAGAAUUCCUGGUGUAGCGGUGAAAUGCGUAGAGAUCUGGAGGAAUACCGGUGGCGAAGGCGGCCCCCUGGACGAAGACUGACGCUCAGGUGCGAAAGCGUGGGGCAGCAAACAGGAUUAGAUACCCUGGUAGUCCAGCGCUGUAAAACGAUGUCGAUUUGGAGGUUGUGCCCUUGAGGCGUGGCUUCCGGAGCUAACGCGUUAAAGUCGACCGCCUGGGGAGUACGGCCGCAAGGUUAAAACUCAAAGGAAUUGACGGGGUCAUAGCUGUUUCCU
rnacentral:rRNA from 1 species